UCACCACUUGAUACGAUAAGGUUUUUUGUUAUGUUUUUUCUAUUAUUAUUUUAGCGUCCUAAAUAUAAAGCUGCGUUUUGUCUCUUGCUAGGUCCUGAGACCCGGAAGAUUUUGCUUUCCCUGCUAGUGUAGCUGUCACAUGGCUCCGAGACUGGAUUUCAACAACAACAAAACAUGGCGACAGUCACGUUGCUCGAAGUGGUGUUGCUGCGUCAUUAGAAAAUAUUGCUCCAAACACGUGGAGGAAACGGGAAAACUGAGGGGAAAAGCGGGGUCCGAGACGGUGGGAGUAAGUUCUAAUACGGUAUACUGAAAGAUGUGUAGAAGCGGGUUUGAUCUUGUUUUUAAUGGGUUUCUUUACCAUUUUGGCUGCGAAGGGGGUGUGUUAACACAGUACUGGGCGUUAGAAAUUGGCUGCACGCACCGUAUAUCGAAAUGCAGCAUUUGUCUUGUCUUCUUAAUUAUAUAAUGAAGGAUAGUGGUGCUGGUGUUUUCUCUUUAAUUUUGUAUUUUACACUCAGGCGCGAUCGGUGCUUGAUUUAUACUUCGCCACAAACAGCGAGACAGAUCGCACAUAAUAGACAGUCAAGGCGUCCUUAUAACAUUGGUUACUGUUUGAUAAAAUGGAUAUCGCUUUUUACUGUGAACUUGCUUUUCGCACACCCUAAAUGUUUAAUUUCAGUAUAAGCUAGUAUGUACAGACUGCAGUAUCCUGACUGUGUAAGUUGUUAUUUAAAAGUGUGGACUGUGUAGUUUAGCAAUGAAACCUAAUGUAAACGGUAAUACAAAUGGACAUCUGUAUAUACUUUUUUUUUUUUCUGGUGGUGGUGCGACACGUUUGCUUUCAUGAUUGCGCAGUUGUUAUUGUUAAUGUUUUUUUGGCAGCUGACCCUUAAAAUGUCCGGUGAUUGCAAACAUAACAAAUUGAGUUGUUUACAUGAAGGAUCCGGCAAAGAGGGCGGAGUCGAGGGGGGAGGAGGCUGCGGAGGGAGACUCGGACUGGGACACUGGUUACACAGCCCCGAGUGGUCUCGGUCCAGGUUCAGACAGAUCCGCAUUGUUGCCACAAAGCCCUGAAUUCCAGGAUGCCAGUGCUUAUCAGCCCUUCUGCUUCCAUGGUACUGUACUGAUGAACAGCAGACUCCUUUUCUUAAAGCACAGGACAGCUUCAGCGAGUAGCGACAGCGUCCAUGCCUCCACUCUCUUUGUACUGCCUCAAACAACAAAACAGUAACUGUGAAGAAGAAGAAUAAUGAUGUUUUUGGCAAUUGCAGAAGAUUUUUUUUGUGUUUGUUUGAUCGCUAUUCAUUGUAAUUUGAUGUAUCUUCACAGCAAGGAUAGACUCAGUUUUGUUGUCUAUAGACAGAUGUCUCUUCUACUGAUGUCAAAGAAGAACAGAGACCUAGGGGGAGCUAUAGGCACAUCAUGCAACUGAGAGGUUGCUGUGAACAGAGAUACUUAAAAAAAAAGUACAGUCGAAGAUAUGUUGACAUAUACAGGACUCCAAAAAUAUUAAGACAUUAUAACUGUGCAAGUACUGUAAGUAACAGUGAAAUGUAAGAGAGACCACCAUUUGAAACAUACACAUUGAAUUAGCGCUUAACCUUACAUCAUAAAAUAUUCUUGUAAAUGUUUUGGGAACAGUUUUUGCCAGUAACUCUCUGUAUUAACAGGAAAUCCAAUGACCCUAUUACAGAGCUGUUUAUUGGAUCCAUUAAGAUUAUAACCAGACAUAAUUUAAUUAGACAAGUCACUGGUAUAGUAGAAGAAUUUCCACAACAUUCACAAUUCUGUACUGUAGAACUGUCAACCAAUAUGUAAUACAUUUAAUUAGCCACACAAUAAGGCUGUGUUAUAGAUGAUAUUGAUUUUGUGGAAUACAUGUAUUAUUUAUUGGUGGUGUCGUAAUGUAUUUAGAGUGAACUAUCAUUAUUUGAUACUAAAACACUGUGUUGUUCUCCACAGAGUCAGAAUGUGUGUCAUGAGGACUGCAGAGAACAGAUCUGGUUUCUUUUCGGUUGUCACAGUGACUGUGGAACUGUGUUCCCAUUGGACAGCAGGGGCGGCUGCUUGAUGUGACAGGCUGCCCUGGCUCAGUUAUCUCAGUGCUGAUGCUGUCCAUCUUUAAAGUACAGUACUGUGAUAACUGAAGGAUGGCAGCCCCCUUGGCACCGGAGACGAGGCGUAAUGUGAAACUGAACUCAUCAGGUGCUGAGCAGCUAAUGGAAAUGAAAGCAAACCAUUAAAUUAUGUUUUAAUGUGCACUGUGUAUUUUAUAGUGUAACUUUUAUUACUAGUGUAUUUUGUUUUUGUAGACAAUUCCUGAUGCCAAACAGUCAUUGUAAUGCAUUAAAUUGCAUUUUUUAUACAUCAGAGCUCCUGGUAAAUUAUCCCAUUUUAAUUGACUUUAUUAGGCAGUGAAUAUUAGAUUAACCGCUAAACUAAGGAGAACCAAACACUCAUAUGUCCCACUAAGAUGUCAUGAUAAUGCAGCUCUUUUUAAUUUAUAAAAUCAAAAAGUGAUCAUGUAACUACAAUUUCUGCAAUGAUGCCUGUUUCGUACUUGAAUUAUAUUAUUAUUAUUAUUAUUAUUAUUAUUAUUAUUAUUAUUUAACCUUUCAUUGUAUGUCCCUUAAACUGGCUGCUUAAAUAAACAUUUCCACGCAGA